AUUGAACGCUUUCGGCAGGCCUAACACAUGCAAGUCGAACGGUAACAGAAAGCAGCUUGCUGCUUUGCUGACGAGUGGCGGACUGGUGAGUAAUGUCUGGGAAACUGCCUGAUGGAGGGGGAUAACUACUGGAAACGGUAGCUAAUACCGCAUAACGUCGCAAGACCAAAGAGGGGGACCUUCGGGCCUCUUGCCAUCGGAUGUGCCCAGAUGGGAUUAGCUAGUAGGUGGGGUAACGGCUCACCUAGGCGACGAUCCCUAGCUGGUCUGAGAGGAUGACCAGCCACACUGGAACUGAGACACGGUCCAGACUCCUACGGGAGGCAGCAGUGGGGAAUAUUGCACAAUGGGCGCAAGCCUGAUGCAGCCAUGCCGCGUGUAUGAAGAAGGCCUUCGGGUUGUAAAGUACUUUCAGCGGGGAGGAAGGGAGUAAAGUUAAUACCUUUGCUCAUUGACGUUACCCGCAGAAGAAGCACCGGCUAACUCCGUGCCAGCAGCCGCGGUAAUACGGAGGGUGCAAGCGUUAAUCGGAAUUACUGGGCGUAAAGCGCACGCAGGCGGUUUGUUAAGUCAGAUGUGAAAUCCCCGGGCUCAACCUGGGAACUGCAUCUGAUACUGGCAAGCUUGAGUCUCGUAGAGGGGGGUGGAAUUCCAGGUGUAGCGGUGAAAUGCGUAGAGAUCUGGAGGAAUACCGGUGGCGAAGGCGGCCCCCUGGACGAAGACUGACGCUCAGGUGCGAAAGCGUGGGGAGCAAACAGGAUUAGAUCCCCUGGUAGUCCCACCCGUAAACGAUGUCGACUUGAAGGUUGGCCCCUGGAGGCGUGGCUUCCGGAGGUAACGCGUUAAGUCGACCGCCUGGGGAGUACGGCCGCAAGGUUAAAACUCAAAUGAAUUGACGGGGGCCCGCACAAGCGGUGGAGCAUGUGGUUUAAUUCGAUGCAACGCGAAGAACCUUACCUGGUCUUGACAUCCACAGAACUUUCCAGAGAUGGAUUGGUGCCUUCGGGAACUGUGAGACAGGUGCUGCAUGGCUGUCGUCAGCUCGUGUUGUGAAAUGUUGGGUUAAGUCCCGCAACGAGCGCAACCCUUAUCCUUUGUUGCCAGCGGUCCGGCCGGGAACUCAAAGGAGACUGCCAGUGAUAAACUGGAGGAAGGUGGGGAUGACGUCAAGUCAUCAUGGCCCUUACGACCAGGGCUACACACGUGCUACAAUGGCGCAUACAAAGAGAAGCGACCUCGCGAGAGCAAGCGGACCUCAUAAAGUGCGUCGUAGUCCGGAUUGGAGUCUGCAACUCGACUCCAUGAAGUCGGAAUCGCUAGUAAUCGUGGAUCAGAAUGCCACGGUGAAUACGUUCCCGGGCCUUGCACA
rnacentral:rRNA from 1 species